GGGCGGUUAGCUCAGCUGGUAGAGCAUCUCGUUUACACCGAGAGGGCCGGCGGUUCGAGCCCGUCACCGCCCACCA
rnacentral:tRNA from 1 species